GAUGAACGCUAGCUACAGGCUUAACACAUGCAAGUCGAGGGGAAACGACAUCGAAAGCUUGCUUUUGAUGGGCGUCGACCGGCGCACGGGUGAGUAACGCGUAUCCAACCUGCCCAUCACUUGGGAAUAACCUUGCGAAAGUAAGACUAAUACCCAAUGAUAUCCCACGAAGGCAUCGGAAUGGGAUUAAAGAUUUAUCGGUGAUGGAUGGGGAUGCGUCUGAUUAGCUUGUUGGCGGGGUAACGGCCCACCAAGGCAACGAUCAGUAGGGGUUCUGAGAGGAAGGUCCCCCACAUUGGAACUGAGACACGGUCCAAACUCCUACGGGAGGCAGCAGUGAGGAAUAUUGGUCAAUGGGCGAGAGCCUGAACCAGCCAAGUAGCGUGCAGGAAGACGGCCCUAUGGGUUGUAAACUGCUUUUAUAAGGGAAUAAAGUGGGUCACGUGUGACUUUUUGCAUGUACCUUAUGAAUAAGGACCGGCUAAUUCUGUG
rnacentral:rRNA from 1 species